NNNNNNNNNNNNNNNNNNNNNNNNNNNNNNNNNNNNNNNNNNNNNNNNNCCAGCCCUCCUCCAGCAGCAGGGAGGAACACGGGGCAGCCCCUGGCCUCACUGCCCCUCAUUCCUGUGCUGCUCCUGCAGGACCAAGGAGAGGUGAUGCAGGAGUGUCUGGAGAAGAGCAGGAGCACCACAGGGCUGGGGAUGGGGUCUACAAGGUGCUGUCCCUCAGGCACAGCUGUAUUCGCUGUGUCUCCAGACGGAACCAGGGGCGGAUGCUCUCCCCAUUGAAGGAGGCUGCUGUGAAAGUGAAGAUCUCCACCCCAUUGUCAGCAUUGAUAAAAGACACCUGCUGCUGGGUACAGUCGAGACAGACCCAGAUCCUCGUGGGGACAGGGGACAGAGAGAAGAGGGUGCGAGGAGACGUGAGAGACAUGAGCUUCCCCUUAUAGUACUCCACAGCCCAGAUCCCUUCUUCAGGGCUCAUGUUGAUCCACCCCUUCCUCUUCACAGAUGCCCUGGCCACCCCCACAGCCCACCAAGAAAACUUGAGCCACUCCCCCUCCCCCUCCACCAACCAGCAGUGCCUCCCCUCUCUGAACUCCUCACGGCCCAGCACGCAGCACCAACAGUCAAAUCUUUCCCAGUAGUCCAGGACCUGCUGUCGUUCAGUUUCCCAUCUCACACUCUUGUCUUCCUCCAAAAGGAUGAGUUGUGGGUGAGCCGUGUUCGGAUCCAGGGUCACCUUCACUGCAGGGACAGAAGGAGCCAGGGCAUCAGGGACAGAGCUCAGCCCUGGGCAGGCUUUCCCCAGCUCGGGGCCAGGAGCUGCCCCACGGGGCAGGAGAUGGGGCACCUCUUGGCUCCUGAACAUGCCCCAGCAAGGGCAGGAGAGGCACUGCAGAGGGUAACUCAUUGCACACCUACCUCUAUCAUGAGACAUCAGAAACCUUCUCCAUGCUGGAAGGAGAGGGGAGAGCUGGUCACAGCCCACGGCCGGGGCCCAGUGGGUGUGGGUAGGGUGAGGGUCCAGCCCUGGGCUGCUCUGUCCCAGCUGCCCACCCUCCCCUGCACAUCACCUUGGUAUUGACCUGGGGCCCAAGCAUUGGGACACUCACCCAGCUCUGCAGCUUGUUUCUCUACAAAUGAAAC
rnacentral:lncRNA from 1 species